AGCUUGAAGAGGAUACAGUGAAUGUAAAUCUGACUGUUGGGGAAGCUAUGUGUUUCAGAGUGUGCUGAAGAGGAAUUGAGGAUUGAAUAUCCCCCACGGGAGUGUAACGAAUGGAUUGAGACCUCUGAUCAGCCUUACCAAUCCCUUACCUGUCUAUUUACCGUCUGAGUCCUGGAAGUAUGCAGCAUCGCUGGUGAAGUAAGCUUUUAAGCCACUGUCUCACUCACGUGCACCGACGCCAGUAUCCUGUACUGAGAAGACUUCUUACCUCUCUACGUACUGUCUGAGUCCUGGAAGUACGCAGCAUCGCUGAAGAAGUAAGCUUUUAAAUCACUCUUUCUCUAAUGUGCCCCGACAAAAGUAUUCUGUACUGCGAGGGAUCCUUACCUGUCUACUCACCGUCAGAGUCCCGAAGGAUGCAGUAUUUCUGCCCUAGGAAGGAACAUAUUGCUGUGGGGAAAUUCUUGCCUUCUUACUUACCGUCUGAGUCUGGAAGUAUGCAGCAUUGCUGAGGAAGCAAGCUUUUAAAUCACUCUUUCUCUAAUGUGCCCUGACGAAAGUAUUCUGUACUGCGAAGAACCCUGACCUGUCUACUCACCGACGGAGUCCUGAAGAAUGCAGCAUUGUUGGUGAAGUAAUCUUUUAAACCACUGUCUCACUACUGUGUAUUGACGCAAGUAUCCUUGACUGAGAAGUAUCCUUAUCUGUAGACUCACUGCCCGAGUCUUGAAGAGAGCCGCCCUAUUGGUGAAGUCGCUGUCAGGGCGAAACUGCGACGUACGAUCAGUACCUAUCCGUAGCUGAAGAAGACCUAGAGGACACUGAAGUCUAUCACGCUUGUGGUCAUUGAUAUAUUGUGCUCAAUAAAGAUUGUUAUUCCUUUAAAGUUACCUCUUGUCUGCAUUGUCCAUCUGUUGCGGAACUGGUGUCGGCUCCUCACGGUGGGGUCUAAGUAAGGGGUGGCUGGUCAUCCGAGUCCACCCCGGUGACAUAAAGUGGCGUAGUCGGCAGGGUUCCCACCGUGAGUUGUAGCGGCCACAGGUACGCGAUGGUGGACGAAGAGGCACCAGCGGCUCGUCCGCAAGUCAUGCCGAUCUUUAUGGGAGCUCCCUGGGCACAGCGUUAUGGAGGGCCAGGAUCGGAGUUAGGCUUGCACUAUUGGAAGGCGCAGACGGAAUAUCUGGCCGGAUUACAGGGACUGAGUGCAUCACAGAAAGUACAGUUUGUGUUGGGAUCUUUGGAAGGAGAAGCCAAAAGAGAAGUUCUUGCUGCAUCAGAAGCCACACGGGCUACCGCGAAAACUAUCUUUGAUUUCUUGUCAGGACUAUAUGGAGACUCUACC